GACGGAGGAUGCAAGCGUUAUCCGGAAUGAUUGGGCGUAAAGCGUCCGCAGGUGGCAGUUCAAGUCUGCUGUCAAAGACCGGGGCUUAACUUCGGAAAGGCAGUGGAAACUACAAGACUAGAGUGCAGUAGGGGCAGAGGGAAUUCCCAGUGUAGCGGUGAAAUGCGUAGAGAUUGGGAAGAACAUCCGUGGCGAAAGCGCUCUGCUGGACUGCAACUGACAUUGAGGGACGAAAGCUAGGGGAGCGAAUGGG
rnacentral:rRNA from 1 species